UUGUACUUGAUUCUGAAAAUA
rnacentral:piRNA from 1 species